UCAUUAUAACAGCUAAAAUUUACUUGAUUUUGACUUUUAUCCUACAUGGAUAACUGUGGUAAUUCUGGAGCUAAUACAUGCACAAAAGUUGCACCGUAAAAAGUGCAAUGCGUAUAUUAGUUAAAAACCAAGCAUCUUCGGAUGUCUUUGUGUUGAUUCUGAAUAUCACUUGCUGAUCGCAUGGUCUUGUACCAGCGACAUGUCAUUCAAGUGUCUGAUCUAUCAACUGUCUAUAUAAGUAUAUAGUACUUAUAUGGUUGUAACGGAUAACGGAGUAUUGGGGUACGACUCCGGAGAAAACGCAUGAGAAACGGCGUUUACAUCCAAGGAAGGCAGCAGGCGCGAAAAUUACCCACUCUCAGUUCGAGGAGGUAGUGACGAGAAAUGACAAGAUCUAUUCCUUUCUGGGAUGGAUCAUUGGAAUGGUUUGAAUUUAAAAUCAUUAAAGAGUAUCAAUGAGAGGGCAAGUCUGGUGCCAGCAGCCGCGGUAAUUCCAGCUCUCAUACUGCAUUGAAUUGUUGUUGCGGUUAAAAAGCUCGUAGUUGGAUCUGUACACGAUAGGAUAGUUCAUCCUUUGGAUUGUAACUAUUACUACGUGUUUUUUACAAGAUUUUUGUUUGGGUUUACUCAGGCAAUGUCUUGUGAGUUUACUUUGAAUAAAUCAGAGUGCUCAAAACAGGCGUAAGCUUGUAUGGUUUUGCAUGGAAUAAUAGAACAUGACUAUGGUUCAUGUUUUGAUUGGUUUUUAUUACCAUAGUAAUGAUUAAAAGGAACAAACGGGGGCAUCCGUAUCGCAAGGCGGAGAGGUGAAAUUCGUGGACCCUUGCGAGACGAACUACCGCGAAAGCAUUUGCCAAGAAUGUUUUCAUUUAAUCAAGAACGAAAGUCUUUCGGUUCCGGGGGAAGUAUGGUUGCAAAGUUGAAACUUAAAGGAGUUGACGGAAGGUCACCACCAGAAGUGGAGCCUGCGGCUUAAUUUGACUCAACACGGGAAAACUCACCCGGUCUAGACACUGCGAGGAUUGACAGACUGAUAGCUUUUUCAUGAUUUGGUGGAUGGUGGUGCAUGGCCGUUCUUAGUUCGUGGAUUGAUUUGUCUGGUUAAUUCCGAUAACGAACGAGAUUGGAACUUAAUUAAAUAGAUUUGUCUUUCCAAUAUUAUGGAGGCAAUAAUCUUCUUAAUGGGAUUUGCGGCGAUCCAGUCGUAAGAAACCCAGCAAUAACAGGUCUGUGAUGCCCUAAGAUGUCUGGGGCUGCACGCGCGCUACAAUGGAAAUUGCAGCGCGUGUGACCAUUUCCGGAAGGAAUUGGUAAACGAGUCAAAUUAUUUCGUAUUUGGGAUCGAAUAUUGUAAUUAUUAUUCGUGAACGAGGAACUUCAAGUAAGUGUAAGUCAUCAGCUUACGCUGAUUACGUCCCUGUCCUUUGUACACACCGCCCGUCGCUGCCCGGAACUGGGUUAAUUCGAGAAGAUUGAGGAUUGUCUCUGACGGCGUGCUUCGGUGCGCUGCCAAAGAGAA
rnacentral:rRNA from 1 species